GGAUGUGAGGGCGAUCUGGCUGCGACGUCUGUCACCCCAUUGAUCGCCAGGGUUGGUGCGGCUGAGCUGGCUGGCUAGGCGGGUGUCCCCUUCCUCCCUCACAGCUCCAUGCGCGUCCCUCCCGAAGCUGUGCGCUCCUUCCCCGGUAAAGGAGGACCGUUCUUCGGUCGAGGGUCUACGAGUAGCUGCGCUCCCCUGCUAGAACCUCCAAACAAGCUCUCAAGAAAGGUCAUUACCUGGGGCGCUUGGGUGGCUCAGUCGGUUAA
ensembl:misc_RNA 7SK 7SK RNA